AGUGAACGCUGGCGGCAGGCCUAACACAUGCAAGUCGAACGGCAACACAGUAAGAGCUUGCUCUUACGGGUGGCGAGUGGCGGACGGGUGAGGAAUACAUCGGAAUCUACUUUUUCGUGGGGGAUAACGUAGGGAAACUUACGCUAAUACCGCAUACGACCUACGGGAGAAAGCAGUGGAUCUUCGGACCUUGCGCGACUGAAUGAGACGAUGUCGGAUUAGCUAGUUGGCGGGGUAAAGGCCCACCAAGGCGACGAUCCGUAGCUGGUCUGAGAGGAUGAUCAGCCACACUGGAACUGAGACACGGUCCAGACUCCUACGGGAGGCAGCAGUGGGGAAUAUUGGACAAUGGGCGCAAGCCUGAUCCAGCCAUACCGCGUGGGUGAAGAAGGCCUUCGGGUUGUAAAGCCCUUUUGUUGGGAAAGAAAAGCAGCAGGUUAAUACCCCGCUGUUCUGACGGUACCCAAAGAAUAAGCACCGGCUAACUUCGUG
rnacentral:rRNA from 1 species